rnacentral:tRNA from 1 species
GCUUGCGUAGCUCAGUUGGUAGANNGAGCACGUCCUUGGUAAGGACGAGGUCACCGGUUCAAUCCCGGUCGCAAGCUCAA